UACGUAGGGUGCGAGCGUUGUCCGGAAUUACUGGGCGUAAGAGCUCGUAGGUGGUUUGUCGCGUUGUUCGUGAAAUCUCACGGCUUAACUGUGAGCGUGCGGGCGAUACGGGCAGACUGGAGUACUGCAGGGGAGACUGGAAUUCCUGGUGUAGCGGUGGAAUGCGCAGAUAUCAGGAGGAACACCGGUGGCGAAGGCGGGUCUCUGGGCAGUAACUGACGCUGAGGAGCGAAAGCGUGGGGAGCGAACAGG
rnacentral:rRNA from 1 species